UAUUUUCUAUUUUCUGAUUUUUAAUUCUUUUAUUUCUUUUAAUUCCAUUUCUCUUUAAAAAUUCAUAUCUCUCUCAUUAUUGGUCCAAAAAAUAUGAGACCAAUUUCAUUUUUCUCCUUUUAAUUUCUACUUUCUAAAAAUGAUUUUUAAUAUUUUUUAUUUUAUCAUUUGAUAUUUUUUAGUAAUUUUCUCUUUUCUGCUUAUUUUUAAUUCAUUUAAAAUAGUUUUU
rnacentral:lncRNA from 1 species